rnacentral:rRNA from 1 species
AACGAACGCUGGCGGCAGGCUUAACACAUGCAAGUCGAACGCAUCCUUCGGGGUGAGUGGCAGACGGGUGAGUAACGCGUGGAACGUGCCCUUCAGUUCGGGAUAACCCAGGGAAACUUGGGCUAAUACCGGAUACGCGCGAGAGCAGAAAGAUUUAUCGCUGAAGGAUCGGCCCGCGUCUGAUUAGCUAGUUGGUGGGGUAAUGGCCCACCAAGGCGACGAUCAGUAGCUGGUCUGAGAGGAUGAUCAGCCACAUUGGGACUGAGACACGGCCCAAACUCCUACGGGAGGCAGCAGUGGGGAAUAUUGGACAAUGGGCGCAAGCCUGAUCCAGCCAUGCCGCGUGAGUGGUGAAGGCCUUAGGGUUGUAAAGCUCUUUCGUCCGGGACGAUAAUGACGGUACCGGAAGAAGAAGCCCCGGCUAGCUUCGUGCCAGCCGCCGCAGUAA